GAUGAAGAACGCAGCGAAAUGCGAUAAGUAAUGUGAAUUGCAGAAUUCCGUGAAUCAUCGAAUCUUUGAACGCACAUUGCGCCCCCUGACAUUCCGGGGGGCAUGCCUGUCCGAGCGUCAUUUCUGCCCUCCAGCCCGGCUGGGUGUUGGGCGCUGUCCCCCCGGGGACACGCCCCAAAGGCAGUGGCGGCGCCGCGUCGGGUCCUCGAGCGUAUGGGGCUUUGUCACCCGCUCGGGACGGACUCGUCGGCGCUGGUCUUCCUCCAGGCGACCCUUCGGGGCUCGUCUUCCUUCGGUUGACCUCGGAUCAGGUAGGGUUACCCGCUGAACUUAAGCAUAUCAAUAAGCGGAGGA
rnacentral:misc_RNA from 1 species